rnacentral:rRNA from 1 species
GGAUUAGAUACCCUGGUAGUCCACGCCCUAAACGAUGGAUACUAGAUAUUUAACUUUUACAGUUAAGUGUCCCAGCGAAAGCGGUAAGUAUCCCACCUGGGGAGUACGCUCGCAAGGGUGAAACUCAAAGGAAUUGACGGGGGCCCGCACAAGCGGUGGAGCAUGUGGUUUAAUUCGAUGAUACGCGAGGAACCUUACCUGGUCUAGAAUGCGCGUGACCGGUCCAGAAAUGGACUCUUCCUUCGGGACACAAAGCAAGGUGCUGCAUGGUUGUCGUCAGCUCGUGCCG